ACAGAGGGUGCAAACGUUGCUCGGAAUUACUGGGCGUAAAGGGCGUGUAGGCGGGAAGGCAAGUCGGGCGUGAAAGCCCCAGGCUCAACCUGGGAACUGCACUCGAAACUGCCUUUCUUGGGUGCCGGAGAGGAAAGCGGAAUUCCUGGUGUAGAGGUGAAAUUCGUAGAUAUCAGGAGGAACACCAGUGGCGAAGGCGGCUUUCUGGACGGUAACUGACGCUGAGACGCGAAAGCGUGGGGAGCAAACAGGA
rnacentral:rRNA from 1 species